GUUUAAUUGUUAAUUGUAAAGAGAUGAUUUUGGUUAUAUGUUGAGCUUUAAGCGCCCUCUUGUGGCGCGGAUUGGGAUGGUAACCCGUAUUUCAAGUGUUGAGUUCAUUGUUAAGUGUCACGGCUCGUACAGUGAAGUUGUGACCGCAUAAGGUUGUAUCCAGUGUUCCUUCAUCCUCCAGCAGCUUCACAUCAUGGUGCGGUGUGGGAAAAGUUGAUUCUUAUUUUAAGGCAAGUCUUCUCUUGUACAAGAACAAACAGUUGACGAAGAAUUAAUCAUGAUCUGGAUGGAAUGACACCUAACCAUGUUCUGCUUCAAAUAUGUUAAAUUAAUCCAAACCGAGUUUUGACCCACUUCAAGAUUGUUUUUCCAGUUUCUAUGGACAUUUAAUCAACAUGCACACUAAUGCUGGUGAGAAGUAUUGUUCCAUUGUGUCUAUACAGAGCCUUGCUAUGUUACCAUUGUUUGUGUGACUGUGUACGAGUCUGCUUGUUUCUCUUUCUCACUUACUUUCGGAUUUGUUUGCCUGUGUGUUUUGCUUCUAUGGAUGUGAAUGUUUUUUGACUGUACCUUUUGGAUUCUGUUAUGGAUUUGUUGUCACUGGAUUUUCCAUUAAAUCUGUAUAUGGAUCCCACA